UACAGAGGGGGCAAGCGUUGUUCGGAAUUACUGGGCGUAAAGGGCGCGUAGGCGGCCUGCUAAGUCGAACGUGAAAUCCCCGAGCUCAACUCGGGAACUGCGUCCGAUACUGGCAGGCUUGAAUCCGGGAGAGGGAUGCGGAAUUCCAGGUGUAGCGGUGAAAUGCGUAGAUAUCUGGAGGAACACCGGUGGCGAAGGCGAGUCUCUGGACAGCAACUGACGCUGAGGCACGAAGGCCAGGGGAGCAAACGGGG
rnacentral:rRNA from 1 species